rnacentral:rRNA from 1 species
UACGUAUGGUGCAAGCGUUAUCCGGAAUGGCUGGGUGUAAAGGGAGCGUAGACGGUUGUACAAGUCUGAUGUGAAAGCCCACGGCUCAACUGUGGGAGUGCAUUGGAAACUGUAGAACUAGAGUAUCGGAGAGGCAAGUGGAAUUCCUAGUGUAGCGGUGAAAUGCGUAGAUAUUAGGAGGAACACCAGUGGCGAAGGCGGCUUGCUGGACGAAAACUGACGUUGAGGCUCGAAAGCGUGGGGAGCAAACAGG